rfam:TPA: Bos taurus chromosome 8, whole genome shotgun sequence.
UCCCUGGUGGCUCAGGAGGUAAAGAAUCUGCCUGCAAUGCAGGAGACCCAAGUUCGAUCCCUGGCUCAGGAG